UACAGAGGUCCCAAGCGUUGUUCGGAUUUACUGGGCGUAAAGGGUGCGUAGGUGGCGGGGUAAGUCGGAUGUGAAAUCUCCAGGCUCAACCUGGAAAUGGCAUUGGAAACUACCUUGCUGAAGAGUUGGAGGGGGGACUGGAAUACUUGGUGUAGCAGUGAAAUGCGUAGAUAUCAAGUGGAACACCAGUGGCGAAGGCGAGUCCCUGGACAACUUCUGACGUGAGGCACGAAAGCUAGGGGAGCAAACAGG
rnacentral:rRNA from 1 species